ACCCGCUCCACGAUGCUUCUGCUGCCUCUUCACCCCGUCCGCUCCAGCUGCUACUCACCACACAGACGAAGAUCUGUCGAUGUUCUAGCAUAGUGAGAGUCGAGGUUCCUUCGAGGACGAGCACCAUGAGGUCGGUCAAUGACAAUUUACACGAAGCAAACGCCGCGAUUCAUGCAAGGCGGAGGGCAGCGGCCGGCCACGAGCUCUGUUUAGGUUCGUGCAUCAGUAGGAUUUCAG
rnacentral:lncRNA from 1 species